UACGUAGGGGGCAAGCGUUAUCCGGAUUUACUGGGUGUAAAGGGAGCGCAGGCGGCGUGGCAAGUCAGAUGUGAAAACCCGGGGCCCAACCCCGGGAGUGCAUUUGAAACUGUAGUUCUUGAGUGAUGGAGAGGCAGGCGGAAUUCCGUGUGUAGCGGUGAAAUGCGUAGAUAUACGGAGGAACACCAGUGGCGAAGGCGGCCUGCUGGACAUUAACUGACGCUGAGGCGCGAAAGCGUGGGGAGCAAACAGG
rnacentral:rRNA from 1 species